AGAGUUUGAUCAUGGCUCAGGAUGAACGCUAGCUACAGGCUUAACACAUGCAAGUCGAGGGGCAGCAUUUUAGUUUGCUUGCAAACUGAAGAUGGCGACCGGCGCACGGGUGAGUAACACGUAUCCAACCUGCCGAUAACUCCGGAAUAGCCUUUCGAAAGAAAGAUUAAUACCGGAUAGUAUACGAAUAUCGCAUGAUAUUUUUAUUAAAGAAUUUCGGUUAUCGAUGGGGAUGCGUUCCAUUAGUUUGUUGGCGGGGUAACGGCCACCAAGACUACGAUGGAUAGGGGUUCUGAGAGGAAGGCCCCCCACAUUGGAACCUGAGACACGGUCCAAACUCCUACGGGAGGCA
rnacentral:rRNA from 1 species